rnacentral:rRNA from 1 species
GGGCGUGCUAAUCUGCGAUAAGCGCCGGUAAGGUGAUAUGAACCGUUAUAACCGGCGAUACCCGAAUGGGGAAACCCAGUGUGAUUCGUCACACUAUCAUUAACUGAAUCCAUAGGUUAAUGAGGCGAACCGGGGGAACUGAAACAUCUAAGUACCCCGAGGAAAAGAAAUCAACCGAGAUUCCCCCAGUAGCGGCGAGCGAACGGGGAGGAGCCCAGAGCCUGAAUCAGCAUGUGUGUUAGUGGAAGCGUCUGGAAAGGCGCGCGAUACAGGGUGACAGCCCCGUACACAAAAGCGCAUGUGCUGUGAGCUCGAUGAGUAGGGCGGGACACGUGGUAUCCUGUCUGAAUAUGGGGGGACCAUCCUCCAAGGCUAAAUACUCCUGACUGACCGAUAGUGAACCAGUACCGUGAGGGAAAGGCGAAAAGAACCCCGGCGAGGGGAGUGAAAAAGAACCUGAAACCGUGUACGUACAAGCAGUGGGAGCCCCACCACUAAGCCAGUGGUGAACUCCACAUACGCAUCCUUUGCUGAGGAUACGGUUAACGGAGCGAAAGCGACGUUCAACCUCAAAAGAAGCAGAGGGGGCUUAGUGGUGGGGUGACUGCGUACCUUU